rnacentral:rRNA from 1 species
UACGUAGGCAGCGAGCGUUGUUCGGAGUUACUGGGCGUAAAGGGUGUGUAGGCGGUUUUCUAAGUUUGGUGUGAAAUCUCCCGGCUCAACUGGGAGGGUGCGCCGAAUACUGAGAAGCUAGAGUGUGGGAGAGGAAAGUGGAAUUCCUGGUGUAGCGGUGAAAUGCGCAGAUAUCAGGAGGAACACCGGUGGCGAAGGCGGCUCUCUGGGACGGUACUGACGCUGAGACGCGAAAGCGUGGGGAGCGAACAGG